AUUGAACGCUGGCGGCAGGCCUAACACAUGCAAGUCGAACGGUAACAGGAAGAAGCUUGCUUCUUUGCUGACGAGUGGCGGACGGGUGAGUAAUGUCUGGGAAACUGCCUGAUGGAGGGGGAUAACUACUGGAAACGGUAGCUAAUACCGCAUAACGUCGCAAGACCAAAGAGGGGGACCUUCGGGCCUCUUGCCAUCGGAUGUGCCCAGAUGGGAUUAGCUAGUAGGUGGGGUAACGGCUCACCUAGGCGACGAUCCCUAGCUGGUCUGAGAGGAUAACCAGCCACACUGGAACUGAGACACGGUCCAGACUCCUACGGGAGGCAGCAGUGGGGAAUAUUGCACAAUGGGCGCAAGCCUGAUGCAGCCAUGCCGCGUGUAUGAAGAAGGCCUUCGGGUUGUAAAGUACUUUCAGCGGGGAGGAAGGGAGUAAAGUUAAUACCUUUGCUCAUUGACGUUACCCGCAGAAGAAGCACCGGCUAACUCCGUG
rnacentral:rRNA from 1 species